UGAAGGAAGAGCCAUAGCUCAGGGGUAGAGCACCUGCUCUGCCCAUGAAAGGUUCUUGGUUCAAGCCCUGGCACCUUCAG